rnacentral:rRNA from 1 species
GAUGAAUGCUGGCGGCGUGCCUAACACAUGCAAGUCGAGCGGCAGCGCGAGUAGUUUACUACUUGGCGGCGAGCGGCGGACGGCUGAGUAACGCGUGGGAACGUGCCCCAAAGUGAGGAAUAACUGCCCGAAAGGGUGGCUAAUGCCGCGUAUGAUCUUCGGAUUAAAGUCUUCGGACGCUUUGGGAGCGGCCCGCGUCGGAUUAGGUUGUUGGUGAGGUAAUGGCUCACCAAGCCGACGAUCCGUAGCUGGUCUGAGAGGAUGAUCAGCCAGACUGGGACUGAGACACGGCCCGGACUCCUACGGGAGGCAGCAGUGAGGAAUCUUCCACAAUGGGCGAAAGCCUGAUGGAGCAACGCCGCGUGCAGGAUGAAGGCCUUCGGGUCGUAAACUGCUUUUAUAAGUGAAGAAUAUGACGGUAACUUAUGAAUAAGCACCGGCUAACUACGUGCCAGCCGCCGCGGUAA